CACACGACUCUCGGCAACGGAUAUCUCGGCCCUCGCAUCGAUGAAGAACGUAGCGAAAUGCGAUACCUGGUGUGAAUUGCAGAAUCCCGUGAACCAUCGAGUCUUUGAACGCAAGUUGCGCCCGAGGCCAUCCGGCCGAGGGCACGCCUGCCUGGGCGUCACGC
rnacentral:rRNA from 1 species